AACGAACGCUGGCGGCAUGCCUAACACAUGCAAGUCGAACGAGACCUUCGGGUCUAGUGGCGCACGGGUGCGUAACGCGUGGGAACCUGCCCUUAGGUUCGGAAUAACUCCCCGAAAGGGGUGCUAAUACCGGAUAAUGUCUUCGGACCAAAGAUUUAUCGCCCUUGGAUGGGCCCGCGUUGGUUUAGCUAGUUGGUAGGGUAAAAGCCUACCAAGGCGACGAUCCAUAGCUGGUCUGAGAGGAUGAUCAGCCACACUGGGACUGAGACACGGCCCAGACUCCUACGGGAGGCAGCAGUGGGGAAUAUUGGACAAUGGGCGAAAGCCUGAUCCAGCAAUGCCGCGUGAGUGAUGAAGGCCUUAGGGUUGUAAAGCUCUUUUACCCGGGAUGAUAAUGACAGUACCGGGAGAAUAAGCACCGGCUAACUCCGUG
rnacentral:rRNA from 1 species